ACGCGAAGAACCUUACCCAGGCUUGAACAGCGAGUGACAAACUACGAAAGUGGUCUUCCGCAAGGACACUCGUAGAGGUGCUGCAUGGCUGUCGUCAGCUCGUGUCGUGAGAUGUUGGGUUAAGUCCCGCAACGAGCGCAACCCUUGUCUGCUGUUGCCAUCAGGUUAUGCUGGGCACUCUGCAGAGACUGCCGGUGAUAAACCGGAGGAAGGUGGGGAUGACGUCAAGUCAGCAUGGCCUUUAUGUCUGGGGCUACACACGUGCUACAAUGGCCGAUACAAACCGUCGCGAGCCCGCAAGGGGGAGCUAAUCGGAGAAAGUCGGUCUCAGUUCGGAUUGUCGGCUGCAACUCGCCGGCAUGAAGUUGGAAUCGCUAGUAAUCGCGGAUCAGCACGCCGCGGUGAAUACGUUCCCGGGCCUUGUA
rnacentral:rRNA from 1 species